UUAUCCAAUGGUUCUGGAAUAUGCCUUUUCU
rnacentral:piRNA from 1 species